rnacentral:rRNA from 1 species
CGACUUUGAAACGAGACGGAGCCAGCGCGUAAACCAGCUUGUGGUACGGCAGCAGGCGGCGGCGGCGGCGGCGGGGCAGGCUGCUGCCGCUGCGGUUCGAGGUCGCGAAGGACGUUACCGAGGUCCGGUUGCCGCGGCUGGAGGCGCCGACGUGCUAGGCGCGGACGCCGGCGUUCCCGAAGCCGCAGAUGCGGUGGCGGCGGCGGCGGCUGCCAUUGGCAACGAGAAGAGGGGGAGGGCCUCUACCGCCACGCCCCCACCACUACCGCCACGGCGACCUGGACCGGCACUGGGGCUACGCCCACGACGUCCUGGGCGAGCAGCCGGGCGCCACGGCGCGCGAGAAGCUCCUGCCGCCGCAGCUGCUGGCGGAGGAGCAGUACGAGAAGGAGUACCGGCUCGCGGAGGCGGGGUGGAGGGAGACCUUCGG